rnacentral:lncRNA from 1 species
AUCAAUUCAAAACCUGGCAUAAAGGGUCCAAAUCCAUCGUAACUGGAGGGGUCCGUAGAACUCGAGAUAGCAGACAUUGUUCUGCCCCAGAAGUUGCCAGCUGCAAAAAUAAUCUUUGCUUUGUAUUUUGGAAUUCCUUUCACAGUGUAUGCCCACUUGCGAGCCAACUUACAGGCGGUUUCUCCAGCUUCCACUCCUGUGUUCAUUGGAAGAACUUUGUUAUAAUUGAACAUCUUGGUGACAAACUCCUCAUAUUCACCAAGCACAUCAUUAUAGAAUGCUCUAGAUGUAAGGGUCAGUUUUUCAGACUGAGCUUUCAGAGCGUUCACAAUCUUUGGGUGACAGUGGCCUUGAUUAACAGCACUGUAAGCACUUAGGAAGUCAAAAUACUUUCUGCCUUCGACAUCCCACACAUAAACACCUUUUCCCCUCUCCAGAGCAACUGGCAGUGGGUGAUAAUUGUGGGCACCAUAUUUUGCCUCACGCUCGAAGAUGUAAUCAGAUGAUGGAGGUCCUUGAAUGGUUUUUUUUGUAGCAACUGAGGUAGCAGAGUUCAGUGAAGUAUGAACACCUCUGCAGAGAGCAGCAAGGCUCUGCGAGCGGAUUAGCUUGGAAAACAUUGUUGACUGCAGGUAUGUCGUAAUUGAUCUGCUGCUGCCGGUGCUGCUGCUCGGCCCGGAGCCCGCGGCGAAGAGGCGGAGGCCGCCCGCGGCAGCUGUCACAGCGCCUCACCGCCCAGCGUC